rnacentral:rRNA from 1 species
AACGCUAGCUACAGGCUUAACACAUGCAAGUCGAGGGGCAGCAUAAAAGUAGCAAUACUUUGGUGGCGACCGGCGCACGGGUGAGUAACGCGUAUGCAACCUACCUAUCAGAGGGGAAUAACCCGGCGAAAGUCGGACUAAUACCGCAUAAAACAGGGGCACCGCAUGGUGAUAUUUGUUAAAGAAAUUCGCUGAUAGAUGGGCAUGCGUUCCAUUAGGUAGUUGGUGAGGUAACGGCUCACCAAGCCGACGAUGGAUAGGGGAACUGAGAGGUUGGUCCCCCACACUGGUACUGAGACACGGACCAGACUCCUACGGGAGGCAGCAGUGAGGAAUAUUGGUCAAUGGGCGGGAGCCUGAACCAGCCAAGUCGCGUGAAGGAAGAAGGAUCUAUGGUUCGUAAACUUCUUUUGCAGGGGAAUAAAGUGCAGGACGUGUCCUGUUUUGUAUGUACCCUGAGAAUAAGGAUCGGCUAACUCCGUGCCGGCAGCCGCGGUAAUACGGAGGAUCCGAGCGUUAUCCGGAUUUAUUGGGUUUAAAGGGUGCGUAGGUGGUUUGAUAAGUCAGCGGUGAAAGUUUGCAGCUUAACUGUAAAAAUGCCGUUGAAACUGUCGGACUUGAGUGUAAAUGAGGUAGGCGGAAUGCGUGGUGUAGCGGUGAAAUGCAUAGAUAUCACGAAGAACUCCGAUUG